rnacentral:rRNA from 1 species
UACGUAGGUGGCAAGCGUUGUCCGGAUUUACUGGGCGUAAAGCGUAUGCAGGCGGACUGUUAAGUAGGAAGUGAAAGGUUGGAGCUCAACUCUAACACUGCUUCCUAUACUGGCAGUCUUGAGUGGCGGAGAGGAAGAUGGAACGACACGUGUAGCGGUGAAAUGCGUUGAUAUGUGUCGGAACACCAAUGGCGAAAGCAAUCUUCUGGACGCAAACUGACGCUGAGAUACGAAAGCUAAGGUAGCAAACAGG